UACGAUCACAGAAGUUAAGCAACGUUGUGCCUGGUCAGUACCUAGAUCGGUAACCGCUUGGGAAUACCAGGUGCUGUAAU
rnacentral:rRNA from 1 species